rnacentral:tRNA from 1 species
GGCCACAUAGCUCAGCGGUAGAGCAACCGGCUGUUAACCGGUUGGCCGUAGGUUCGAUCCCUACUGUGGCCGCCA